AUAUACAGCCAUACCACCCUGAGAAUGCCCAAUCCCGUCUGAUCUCAGAAGCUAAGCAGGGUCAGGCCCGGUUAGUACUUGGAUGGGAGACCAGCUGGGAAUACCGGGUGCUGUGGGCU
rnacentral:rRNA from 1 species